CAUCAGAUUUUUGAACGCAAGUGGCGGCAGCUUCGGCCGUCAUGUUUGUUUCAGUGUGUUCGGUUAAUUGCAUCAUAGAAUUAAAUGUGAUUGAAGAAAUUCUCUCACCGAGUAUGAGCUAGCGUCAGUGCGAGCAUUACACGAAUUAGUCACUAAUAUGGUGAUAAUCGUGAAAGUGAUCAAGCUGUAGAAUCGCUAGUUAAUAACCGAAUAUCCAAUUAUAACACCUGAAAUAAGCAAGGUUACCCGCUGAACUUAAGCAUAUCAGUAAGCGGAGGAAAAGAAAAUAACCAUGAUUACCUCAGUAGCGGCGAGUGAAGAGGUAUAAGCCCAAGAUGUUAAUCUAUGCGAAAACAUAGAAUUGUAAUCUAUGGAAUAGCUCAGAAAGCAGAAGUCCGCCAUAAGUGCCUUGGAACAGGACGCCAGAGAGGGUGAAAGCCCCGUCUUCGGGUAGGACAAUGCAAUAUGAGAUGUUUCCAAGAGUCGGGUAGUUUGGGAAUGCUGCCCUAAUUGGGAGAUAAACUUCUUCUAAGGCUAAAUAUUGAUGGGAGACCGAUAGCAAACAA
rnacentral:rRNA from 1 species